UUUCACUUUGCAGCGGGUCAUUCAGCUCUUUGGGCUCACUCACUGCAGGUCAUUUGAACUGUGUGCUGCUGCUUAAAGAUGCGGAUUUUGUUUGUUCACAUGACAUAGAGUAGAGAAGGGCACAUGAGCUAAGAAGAUGAGCUGGAUCAUUCAUAUUUCCAUUGAGGUUAGUACUAUCACGCACAGGGGAAGACCACAGCACUGCAAUCAGGCAACGCAGACAGAACACCACAAACUGCUUCAAAGACGUUUCAACAUGGAAGCAAGAGGUCCUAGACGCAGCCCUCAAAUUCUACUUUCUGAUGAUGACAGUGGUCUGUGGAUGAAGAUGGAUUCAAACCAUGUGAGCAACCACACAGAGAAUUUUUCAGCGACCUCUGAAGACAAAAUCACAACGAUCUCUGCUGCUCCCACUGCUAUAAUGAGGUACUACAGUGUGAUGGAUGAUGAAGGUGCAGAUGAUGUCUUCAUCCCUCAACCACCUCCUCCACCUCGCACGGCUACAUCGCUGCCAGCAGAGAAAAGCACAGGUGCAACAGCAAGUAAGUCUGGUGUGACCCUUUCAGUUGACGCAACAGAGGCUGAAGCUAAUCCAAGAGGCUUAGACUUGUCUCAUAGUGAGGAGCAGUUAAUGGUAGCACGAAACGAGCUGGAUGAAGAGGUGACUGCAAGUGCAGUGCAGUUGUCUAUGGCCAACAUAUCCAAUGAACAAGACUCCUCUCCACCAACUUAUCAAGAACAACAAUCCAUGGAUGUGACUGGUUGUCUGAUGGAAACUGGUUAUGAUACAGAUCGAAGACCUUACGGGAAUAACGCAACAGAGAAUGACAAACCAGAGGACAUUGUAAUUAUAAGUGAAGAACAGGGAAACUGCUGGGAAGCCAAUACGGAGGAAGACAGUUACCCAAAACAAACACAUUCAAACCACAGAGAAGACUCUGAGAAUCAGAUCCAUUUAGACAAAGACGGAGACAAAAUAAAACACAAGGACAUUGGUGAUUUUGAUGAAACAGACUUAAAACUAUUAAGAGAAAGUAUAGCUAUCGAGAGUGUGGAGGCAAAUUCCGAUGAUGAUUUCAAGCUCUGUAAAUGCAACCAAAACAGGACCGAUACAGCAACCAGUCAGGCACAGGCUGCUGACUUCCAAACAGAUACGGACAAAGACAAUGAAGAGCAUGAUGACCGUACAUCUUUGGAUUAUAACCUCAUAAAGUGCGACUGUGUGAGGAAAGAAAGCGGCAGCACAGAAAUGCAAGUGCUAUCCAGCUCCAAAGGUUCUGAAGAAAGAGAGACAAUGGGGGAGCAAGAGGAUGGAAGCAGGAAAAUAUCUACUGAUAUCCAACAAGGUGAGCAACUGCUUCAUCGUCUGCAGCUGGUACAGCUACGACAUGAUGUGAAAAUGUCAGAGAACGCUGAUACCCAACAGCAGGCUGUCAUGAUGGAUGAAAAAAAGGGCAUGUUUGGGACUGAAACAGAGAAUAUACCUAGUGAAGAAGAGAGGGAAGAAGGCAGAUUCGAAACUCUUAAGGAAGAUGAAGAAAAGGUGAGCCUGAUGGAAAAGGAAAAUAAUGAGGACAAAGACAUUCAAACAAGAGCAAGGACAUCUUCAUCCACAAUUCCAGGAGAGUCAGAAGAAGACCAGAGGGUUGUCAGAAUAGAUCCGAGUGACUCUAAUGACAAUCAGAGUGAUAGCUGGGAGCCUACAGAUUUGACUCCCAGUAAUCCUCAUGAAACUUCUAAUGAAAUUCCAUUUCUUUCCACUGGACACCGAUUUUCAGCUGCUGAAACCUACAUGGAGAGGCAGCUCCAUGAGGCAGCCCAGGGGAAGCAGAAGCUGCAGAGAGCUGGAGGUGUUUUCAAUCUUGCAGAAAAUCCAGAUGUGCUGGAGAUUCCCUUUAAAACAGAUAUCUCUCUUGAGUCACUCACUACCAAGGUAGGUACAAGCCAAUGCAACGAGUGGCAAUUCUCUGAACAGAAGAUGCUCAAAGAGAUAAGUCAGGAUAUUCAGAGAGAACUAGUGCUGGUCAAUCAAGGUAAAAUCCCAGGGGGGUACAGCAAAGGAGAGAUCCGCCAGUUAAAAGAGACAAAACUGCUGUUUGAAGCCUUCCAGCAGGACAAUCCGGAGGGUCCAACAAGACACCGUAAAUCCCCCACAACUCUGAGGAAAGGUCACAUUUACCCUUCAGUGCUAGAGCGCACACGUAGCCUUGAGAUGUUUUCCCUCAAAACUUGUCCUGUUUCCAGAGCACAUUCCCUCAGGCUGUACCAAUCUGCAAAUCUUGAGAAGGAAAAAAGUCCUGACAGCAUCAGAUCAAAGAGCCCAACUGGAGGGUCACGAGACAAAACUCGCUUAUCCCCUUACCCAAAACAAGACAAAAACAUUCGCCUGUACAGAAGCAUGGACUCUAUAAGCAAUGACUUCUCUACGUUAGCUGUGGAGGGUAAAGCAAAGGCAGCAAAUGCAAACAAAGAGUCUUCAAUCCUCAAGCAAAACCCAUUCUUCAAAUUGCGCCCAGCCCUGGCUCUACAACCAGAGGUAGAGAAGGACAUCCGAGAAGCCAAAGAAAGAGAAGAGGAGCUGCGCAAGCAGAGACGCAGUCUGUAUGGAGAGAAGAGACAGAAUAGUGAAGAUGAACAAAAGUCACAAACACUCCCAACAGGUUAGUAUGCACCUGUUUAACAUCAGUUUUAUACUACUUAGCAAAGUUCUUAACCUCCUAAGACCUGAACUUUCAUGGCAUGCAUUUUUAAUUUCUUUAUGCUAUUUGGGCUGAUUGGGACCUGAUAAUUGUAAAAACAAAGAAUUACCAUAUUUUCUUUUACCUGAUUUUUGUUUCUGAGAAAAAUGACAUUCACAUAUGAGGACAUUUGUUUUAAAUUUCGAUAGAAUAGUGGCAGUAUAAUGUCCUCGUAAGUGGAUAUCAGGCCCUUGUAGAGCAAAAUUUUGUAUUUUAGUCUAGACAUAUAUGGACGCCAAGUCCUAGGAGGUUAAGGACAGCUUUUUAUACUAUUUACUGAGGAACAUUACUAUAUAAUAUAAUUUUGGCAUGAUUUGACUUUUACUCGACUAAAGAAUACUCCAAAGUUUUCACAGAAAAAUAUACUUUUUACUUGACUACAACUAUUUGACAUGUGAGUGCCUUCCAUCAGUGAUAAGCAAUUGCAUGAGCUCUAACCUAAUUUGCUCAUUUAGCUAAACAUUGCUGACAAUGUGAAGCAUAAGAUCUCUAAAAUCCCAUCAAGGGAAAACAAGAGCCAAUUCGGUCUUUAUUCAUCCCACAUGCCUUUUGACACUUAGUCUGAACACUUUAAUGAAUGCUUCUCAACAUUAGCAUCACAUAGUUUUAUCCCAGACAUGUUAUCAACAACUCACUGUCAUUCCUGUCACUGAUGGUUAAGGACACAUCAUGCUGUCAGCUGUCUAAUCUAAACGUUGGCUGAGGGAGAACAUGAAUGGCACUACCUGGAAAAUUCUAGUUUGGUUAUAGCCUGGUGCAAAUAAAAAUCAGUUCAGCCCGCUGAAAUACCUAUUUGAAAGAACUAUAUGAAGUGUAGCUUGUGUGCAUUUUUUUCUCCUGUUGCAUGAGAACUCAGAAAUCAAGGGAGUGUGUCAAUAAGUAUCACCAUGUUAGAAUUUAGUCAUCAGCAGCUGUUGUUGAAGAUUGAGUUGAUUCCAGGUCAUGCUGACAAAGCUACAAAUGUCAGUAAUAUGUGGAAGCAAGAAAGAGUCAUUCCUAAGGUCAAAGAAGCUGUUUUGUGUUACCCUAAACAUUUACAAGAGGAAACUUUGUACUUGUUUAACCCAGAUACACUGAUAAAGCCCGACAAGCAAAAAAUUUCACGCUGAAAAUAUUAACGUGAUUUGAAAAAUAAUACAAAAUAAGCCUAGAAUCCUUUACGUGCAUAUCAAAAACAAAGGUUUGUGAAACAUUUUUGAAAGAAUCUGUCGUUCUAAAGUGCUCACUUCCCUCCUAGAUAUGUAAGUGGUAUCAUUGCAAUGUACAAGCGUCCAGCUGAAUUUGUGAUUGCUAUACAUAUAGUAUGCUAAAUGAAUGACACCGAAGUUGCGUGUGUCUGGGAAAGCAUUGGUAUCUUUGCUAUUUGCUGAGCCAUUUAGAAGGCAUGGAAAUAAAGAAGCUCAAUUACUUACUGUCAUUACAAUAGAACUGUGUAGAUUCUCAGAACUACCCUAAAACUUCUAAAAUCAGUCUAAGCAGUAGAGAGCUGCUAAUCUUACCAAAUAUAGUAGCUUAGCUACUGAGCUACUUAGUUGUUCUUUUUCUCUUUCUGUCCUACAGACAGCAGGAAACAGUCACGGGGGAAACUGGAGCGGGUUUGGCCACCUCCUUCUAAAAAGGACCAGAUAAAACUGGAGCAGAUAGAGCAGGAGCCAAAAGUUCACCGAGCAGGAGGACAGAAAGCUUCUCUCUGGCAACGCUGGGAGUCCGGCCUGAUCAAUGGGAAGCCGUCAAAAGAAAAGAAGUGAUGUUAUAUGUCCUGGUUCUUGAACACUACAAACAGAAUAUCAGGGACUAGACCAGCACUAGACUUAUAGUCAAAAUAACCCAAAUUGUUAUGCUAGUCCCAGCUUCAAUACUUCCUCGCUCUUUUAACUCUGCUUUGUAUCUGUGACAAAUAUGCUUUUUUGUAUCUUUAUUAUUAUUUUAAAAAAAAAAUAACAAUACCAGUCCAUAGAUUAUGUUAGGAAAAACUCUUGGACCAAAACAGCCACUGUUCCAGCUGGUCCAGGAAAUGACUUUGUUAGAAUGCUGGCUAGCAUUAGCAGCUACUUCCUGAGAACCCUGGCUAGCAUUAGCAGCAGCUUCCUGCUCUGUCAGAUUUAGAAAGGUUUACACUUUCAGUUGACAGUUCAACAAAAGAAGGGUCCAAUCUUAUGGAACAACAUGGUUUAUACUUUUUUAAAAAUAAAUAAAUAUUGUACCAUAAACACAACUGUCAGUUAUGUAGACAACACUAUAAAACUAUUUAAGCUAGCCUACUUGUAUGGGGGAAAAAAACUCACAAAAUAUCCUUUGUGAAUGUAGCAUGCCUAAAUCUUCAAGGGUUAACUUAGCAAGAACAAGCAAUAUGAAUAAGAAUUAAAUGAUGGGAUGUAUGGGAUAUAUUCUUGACAAUAUUAAUAAAAGACCAAGCUGCUUCACACUUUUUUUUAGCUUUGGUGAGCCUCUUGGUUUAUGAAAGUCUAUUUCCAAAAUGCCUCUAAGCAGGUUUCAUAGGUUGGAUGCACUGGUUCUGGCUGCUCCAGUCACUGUACAAUGUCUGAAGGGACUCUUUACUAAGCCACUCUUACUCUUGGAUUUACUCUGAGGCCACACAGAGGAGAUUACACUGAUCACAGCUGCUUUUUUCUGUAUAGCUUGAUGUAUCAUUUGUGGGUUUUGUUGCAUAUUUUCUAACAAGCCUAAAGAUCAUCCAAAGACCAGAAAAUCCUAAAUGGAGAAUAAUGAUUAUUUAAAAUAAAUUUACACCACUUAAUCCAUUGAACUGGAAUGUUUUGAUGCCCUCUAGAGGUUGUUUCAUCUUGGAGUUGAUUCCAAAUUCAAGCUGGUUAAAUAGAAUUAAAGAGAAUAGAAUCAAAGAAGAUAAACUUAACAAAGGCUUUAUUGAUUGGCCUGCAGUCACGUUUACAAGGGAGCACCUGGUUUCUAAUCUCUACAGAGACAGAAGUACACAGCUUAGCCUGUCUAAGUACCAUCUGCCACCCCCACUGAGUCUGCCAAAAGAGGAAAGACUUUCACUCUGCCCUUCCUGGCUUGGAUAUCCCAGUGUUAAUUGGCUACCACUGUCAUCAUCCUAUGAGCAAUAAGCAGUGCCAAGGCCAAGGUAUCAGUGGUUUGCAUUUUAACAUAGAUACAUUAAACAUCUAUAACAUCCAAAAAUGUUGGCCUUUGAAAGUGUUUACACAUGCAUGAAGCCCGCCUUUAUCUGGUUGGGUCUGGAUCUGUAAGAGCGAGUGGCUGUACUUGUUUGUCAAUGGCACCAUUUGACACAAAUAUUUAGGACACUUCUCAAACUGAAACCUUUUGCUUUAUGCAGUAUUUAAAUGUACUUAUUAGUAAUUACACAUUUUCCUUUUCCAAGACCUCUGGGUGUGCUCACAUGUAGCGCAUGUCCUGGGAAUAAAUUGCAAUGUUUGGGUGUGAUGUAUGGAAAUAUGGGGACAUUUUGAGUUGUUAGUCUGUUUUUGAGCUUAUGUUAGACGUGAUGUCUAAUGUAAAAAAAAUAAAAUAAAAUACACUCAUCUGCCAAUCCAUUAGGUACCUAUUUUACAGCUUGUUAACACAAAUAUAUAAUCAGCCAAAUACAUGACAGAAACUCC
ensembl:lncRNA